GGGCUGCAUGUCUGUCCCAGGGGCUGCUGGGACCCCCUGGCUGUAUAUCCCGGUGCCCCAGCCCAAGGCCAGAAGGGGGGGGUGCCAUCCUGGCUCCUUACCCCGCCCCAGCAGCGCCUGUGGCCUUCACCCCUGCCACCUGGACUGGCUCUUGGAAAAACACAGGUGGAUGCUGCGCCACUCGCUCGGAGGGCGGUCAGCGUUGUCAUGUCCCUCACCUGCCCCCCAUCCUCACCAGUGGCUCCCCCUCCAAGGCAGCCACACUCCCCCAGGGCCUUGGAUGAUGCUGGCUCCCUGAUGUCACACAGGCCUGCACAGCCUCACUGUCCCCAGAUGGGAGAACAGCCCCAAUGCCCCCUAGCACUGUCCCCCCCAAGAGCACAGGAAUCGGAGUUGCCAUCAUGGGCGCAGCGGCAACGAAUCUGACCGGGAACCAUGGGGUUGCGGUGAGCCCAGGCCUUGCUCAGCAGGCUAAGGAUGCAGCAUUGCCGUGAGCUGUGGUGUAGGUCGAGGAGAUGGCUCUGAUCUGGCGUGGCUGGGGCUGUGGCGUAGGUCGGCAGCUAUAGCUCCAAUUGGCCCCCUAGCCUGGGAACCUCCAUGUGCCGAGGAUGCGGCCCUAAAAGGCAAAAAAAACCCAUAUUGCUUGGGACUGUGUCUGGCACAGAAAACAGCGAGCCACUGCCACUCUUGUUGUUACUGACCCAGGGCCACAUGUGGAGGCUGCAGACCCCAUCCACUCAGUCGGCCCCCGCCCCCGCCCCCCAUGGGCCACACAUGCGGAGGCACAGCAGGACAUCCGAAGCUCCUGUGCACACUCAGGGAGGGGGACCGGCUGCUGGGCCACCUGCCCCCCAACAAGGAAACAGCAGUGUCCAGUGGAGCAAAGGCCCCCAGGCAGGAUCGGGGGCCCCGGCAGGGUCUCCAUGGCUGGUCUGAGGCGUGGGAGGAGUCCCUGACACCCAUGGGUGCACGCCUAGCCCCCAAGGACACUUGGGAGCCAUGGUCCCCGUGUGGCAGCGAGAGGCAAAGCAGCCCCAGGCCCUGAGUGAUGACAGCACAGGCAGAGCCUCGUCUGGGGCGGGGUGGGGGGGAGGCAGCCCGCAGCCUGGCCACGGCAAAUCCUGUCUUUAUCCUCCCGCUCGGCUGGACCCUCCAGACCCACACACCCCACCAGGCGAGUCCAGGCUGCUGCCCACACAGCCCACCCCUCACAGGCAGCUGUCGGCACCGGGGGCCCCCGUCGGGCCCCCCUUGGCAGCUGCUCUUGUGGCUGCGUCCACACCCGGACGCCAUGGCCACAGCCCUGAAGGGGGCUGGGGGCACCCCCACCCCUGGAGCAUCUGCGCAGCAGGUGGGGGCCCCUCAGCUGAGGGCAGGUGUGGGCUCUGUGGGGUAGGGUCUCAGGAGGGGCAGCAGCGGGCCAGCAGGGGAGCCUCGCCUGACAGGUGCUGGGCUGCUAGGUGGGGACCAAGCCGUGGCUGCCUCUUGCUUCCUGGGAGAGGCCCCAGCUCUGAGGGGCCCAGUCUCUACCAAGCAGCUCUCACCUGACGCAAAGGGACAAUGAGACGAGCAAUUACACGGAAAAAAGCUGCACAACCAAACACUGGCUGUGUUUGGUGGGGAGGGGACCCCGUAUGGGCAUAAGGGCUAUUGUAAUUCAAACAGAGAAGAGGCAGCUAGCAGGGGCCAUUCUGGACCCAAGGGGGCCAGAGGACAAGGACAGGCAGGACCAAUCCCUGGGCCCUAGGGUGGACCAAAGAGCAGAGACAGGUGACCGCAGGUCUGGAGGGCUCUGACAGGACCAGCCAGGGGCCCCAUUUCACGUGUGGUCCGUCCCACUCAGGUAUUCAGAGCACGGGGUCUGGAGGUCAGCGACGGGAGAGGUCAGCCUCCUCCAGCCACCCGCCCCGGCCUCGAAGGAGGGCCAGCCAGAGUCCCCUCCCCUCCCCUGGGGAACGCCUUCUCUGUUGCAGGCACAGUGAAGGAGGUGGAGGUGCCACAGGCUGCCCUGGGCACCCCAGCUCCUGGGACGGGGACCAGUGGCCACUCGCCUGUGGUCGAGGAGGAGGGGGGCACCCCCGCGCCGGCACCAGGGCUCCUGCAGGUCACGGAGAGGCGGCAGCCCCUGAGCAGUGUCUCCUCCCUGGAGGUGCACUUCGACCUCCUGGACCUCACCGAGCUCACCGACAUGUCCGACCAGGAGCUGGCCGAGGUCUUCGCCGACUCUGACGACGAGAACCUGACCAGCGACUCGCCCACAGGCCUCCACCCGCUGCCCAGGGCCGGCUGUCUGCGCUCCCCUUCUUGGACACGCACCAGGGCAGAGCAGAAGCGGGAGAAGCAGCCUCUGGGCGACCCGGAGCGGCAGCCUGCCGUUGCAGACACGUUUCUGACCGUGGAGAGGCCCAAAGAGGACUAGGCCAGCUGGCCGCAGGGCCGAGGCCCCUGGACACUGCCCACCCCGUGUGGAUCCAGGCUGGGGCCUCAGGGCACCUCAGCAGCAGCUUGGCCCCGUGGCCUUACGUCCAGCCCCUUCCUGGUCCCUGGAUCAGGGACAAUGUUGGGGGAUGAGACGAGAGUGGCCUGGGUCUUCUGGAAACUUCUGUCUGCAGGACUGGUUUUCUUGUCAGCCACCAGACUUCCGGGUGGGUGUGGGGAGAGCAGAGGCACAGAGGGGAGAGGUACCUGGCGCCCUCUCCAGGGUCUCGGGGUUCCAGACUGUGAAGGGCCAUGCCGAGCUCCAGCCACAGAUGAGGGCAGGGCACUCAGUCUGGAAGCUCACCACCGUGACUCCAGCCCUGCCCCCUUCCUGCCGCCCAGGGCAGACCCCCAGCCCUGGUCCCUGUGUGACAGGGACCCUCCCCAGCCCAGGACACCAACCACACCCUGAUACUCAGGCUGCUGGGCAGGGGAGCAGCAGGCAGGGCUCAUCCUCUCCGCCCCUGCCUGACAGUCCCCGUGGCCGCCACACACACAUGCGCGCGCGCGUGCGCAUGGGUCUGCGUCCUGGCCAGCGUUCCAGCCGCUGUGCAAGAGCCCGAGGGGCACCCAGUGCUGCGUACCUGCCAGGGAACAGAACAGGCUCCUGUCGGACAGCAGGUCCAAGAACAGUUUUAAACGAAAGGUGUCCGCUUGCUUUUUGUCCCCAAGGCCACCAGCCCUGAUCCCUUACCCACAAGAACGUUUCUGCAGAAGUGGCUCCUCUGCUGGAGCCUAUGGAGCCCUGGGCACGUGGGGGCCUCUGUGAGCUCCACCAGCCCUGCCAGGAUGGGACCUGGACCGGAUGCCUCUUCUCCACAUGUGAGGGCAACACGGGUUCUUCCCUGCAAACUGACCCGGCAAGGGCAGCACACGUCCCCCCCAACCCAAUUCCUCUCCUUGCUGCAGCUUCUGCAUAACUCACUUCCAAAAAGCAGGAUUAAAACGUCACCCAUCCCAA
rnacentral:lncRNA from 1 species